GGUUAAGCGACUAAGCGUACACGGUGGAUGCCCUGGCAGUCAGAGGCGAUGAAGGACGUGCUAAUCUGCGAUAAGCGUCGGUAAGGUGAUAUGAACCGUUAUAACCGGCGAUUUCCGAAUGGGGAAACCCAGUGUGUUUCGACACACUAUCAUUAACUGAAUCCAUAGGUUAAUGAGGCGAACCGGGGGAACUGAAACAUCUAAGUACCCUGAGGAAAAGAAAUCAACCGAGAUUCCCCCAGUAGCGGCGAGCGAACGGGGAGCAGCCCAGAGCCUGAAUCAGUAUGUGUGUUAGUGGAAGCGUCUGGAAAGGCGCGCGAUACAGGGUGACAGCCCCGUACACAAAAAUGCACAUGCUGUGAGCUCGAUGAGUAGGGCGGGACACGUGGUAUCCUGUCUGAAUAUGGGGGGACCAUCCUCCAAGGCUAAAUACUCCUGACUGACCGAUAGUGAACCAGUACCGUGAGGGAAAGGCGAAAAGAACCCCGGCGAGGGGAGUGAAAAAGAACCUGAAACCGUGUACGUACAAGCAGUGGGAGCACAGAGCAAUCUGUGUGACUGCGUACCUUUUGUAUAAUGGGUCAGCGACUUAUAUUCUGUAGCAAGGUUAACCGAAUAGGGGAGCCGAAGGGAAACCGAGUCUUAACUGGGCGUUAAGUUGCAGGGUAUAGACCCGAAACCCGGUGAUCUAGCCAUGGGCAGGUUGAAGGUUGGGUAACACUAACUGGAGGACCGAACCGACUAAUGUUGAAAAAUUAGCGGAUGACUUGUGGCUGGGGGUGAAAGGCCAAUCAAACCGGGAGAUAGCUGGUUCUCCCCGAAAGCUAUUUAGGUAGCGCCUCGUGAAUUCAUCUCCGGGGGUAGAGCACUGUUUCGGCAAGGGGGUCAUCCCGACUUACCAACCCGAUGCAAACUGCGAAUACCGGAGAAUGUUAUCACGGGAGACACACGGCGGGUGCUAACGUCCGUCGUGAAGAGGGAAACAACCCAGACCGCCAGCUAAGGUCCCAAAGUCAUGGUUAAGUGGGAAACGAUGUGGGAAGGCCCAGACAGCCAGGAUGUUGGCUUAGAAGCAGCCAUCAUUUAAAGAAAGCGUAAUAGCUCACUGGUCGAGUCGGCCUGCGCGGAAGAUGUAACGGGGCUAAACCAUGCACCGAAGCUGCGGCAGCGACGCUGAUGCGUUGUUGGGUAGGGGAGCGUUCUGUAAGCCUGCGAAGGUGUGCUGUGAGGCAUGCUGGAGGUAUCAGAAGUGCGAAUGCUGACAUAAGUAACGAUAAAGCGGGUGAAAAGCCCGCUCGCCGGAAGACCAAGGGUUCCUGUCCAACGUUAAUCGGGGCAGGGUGAGUCGACCCCUAAGGCGAGGCCGAAAGGCGUAGUCGAUGGGAAACAGGUUAAUAUUCCUGUACUUGGUGUUACUGCGAAGGGGGGACGGAGAAGGCUAUGUUGGCCGGGCGACGGUUGUCCCGGUUUAAGCGUGUAGGCUGGUUUUCCAGGCAAAUCCGGAAAAUCAAGGCUGAGGCGUGAUGACGAGGCACUGCGGUGCUGAAGCAACAAAUGCCCUGCUUCCAGGAAAAGCCUCUAAGCAUCAGGUAACAUCAAAUCGUACCCCAAACCGACACAGGUGGUCAGGUAGAGAAUACCAAGGCGCUUGAGAGAACUCGGGUGAAGGAACUAGGCAAAAUGGUGCCGUAACUUCGGGAGAAGGCACGCUGAUAUGUAGGUGAAGUCC
rnacentral:rRNA from 1 species